UACUCACUCAAUCUGGGUGUGAUGUGUUUACCUUUGAUCCAUCACAACCUCCUUGAGUGAGCGA
rnacentral:pre_miRNA from 1 species